GGCCUAAUACAUGCAAGUCGAGGGGCAGCACGGGUAGCAAUAUCUGGUGGCGACCGGCGCACGGGUGCGUAACGCGUAUGCAAUCUACCUUUAACCGGGGGAUAGCCCGGAGAAAUCCGGAUUAAUACCCUAUAACAAAUGAAGCAGCAUUGCUUUAUUUUAAAAAUUCCGAUGGUUAAAGAUGAGCAUGCGUAUGAUUAGCUAGUUGGUGAGGUAACGGCUCACCAAGGCAACGAUCAUUAGGGGUACUGAGAGGUUACACCCCCACACUGGAACUGAGACACGGUCCAGACUCCUACGGGAGGCAGCAGUAAGGAAUAUUGGUCAAUGGAGGCAACUCUGAACCAGCCAUGCCGCGUGCAGGAAGAAGGCGCUACGCGUUGUAAACUGC
rnacentral:rRNA from 1 species